UGCAGCCGCGGUAAUUCCAGCUCCAAUAGCGUAUAUUAAAGUUGUUGCAGUUAAAAAGCUCGUAGUUGAAUUUCGGGAUUAGUGCGCCGGUCGUGCCUUCGGUAUGUACUGAUGUUACUGGUUCCUACCUUCUGAAGAACCGUUAUGUCAUUAAUUUGGCGUGCCGGGGAGCCAGGACCAUUACCUUGAAAAAAUUAGAGUGUUUAAAGCAGGCUUUUGCUUGAAUAGAUUAGCAUGGAAUAAUAGAAUAGGACGUUGUGGUUCUAUUUUGUUGGUUUUAGGACCACCGUAAUGAUUAAUAGGGAUAGUUGGGGGCAUUAGUAUUCAAUUGUCAGAGGUGAAAUUCUUGGAUUUAU
rnacentral:rRNA from 1 species